CGUUGCUCCCGGGCCCGCGUCCUAAAGAACCGGACAACUUGGGACUUGCUCCUAAGCCUAUAUUUGAGCCCUAGGCUUUCCUCGCUGGGCCACCUGACCGACCGACUUUCCAAAGCCGCGCGGAGCUCUCCCACCCAGCCUCUGGGGACGCCGCUAACAGCCGAGCUACUGGGCAGUGUGGAAGGUACCCACAUUGCUCCCAUUGUUUUCCGGGUGAAGAUAUGAACCAUCAUUACAAUUAUCGCCCUCAAAGGAUUUGUUGAGACUUCCUCCGCUGUUUGUAAACCACGUUGACAUGGUUGGCUCUAAGGAGCUGUGGAAAGCAGUUUAGCAGUUUUGAAUGCCCACUGCAGACUUGUCUACAUUGUAUUAACUUUUGGAGACCCUCAGCAUGAACAAAUUGUG
rnacentral:lncRNA from 1 species